UUAAAUAUCACAUUAAUUACAAAUUAUUAUUACUAUCAUCAUUUUUUUUUUUUUUUUAGAAAAAGUGGCGGCCAAUGUAGUGAAAAGUUACAUAUCAUUUAUCAAUGAAAAAAAUGCCGAAGUUAAUGUUGUAACAUUCUGUAAACAUAAUAUUAAGGAUCAGCAUUACGGCCCAUUUCUUAAGAAAAUUUUUGAAGCUAAAUAAUAAUUUAUUUUAAAUAUUUUGUUUAAUCAUUAUAAGAUAAAUAUAAACA